UUUUAAAAACCCAGGCCCAAUCUUUUUUUUUUUAAAAAACUAAAAAGGCCCAAAAUUACUCCCCAUACCCCACGCCUCUCUCUAUCUUCUUCUCCCUCUCCCUUCUUCUCUCUCUCGACAAAUUGCAGACAAUCUCAAUCUGUCGUCGUCGUCUCCCAUCUUACCAGCCACCGCUGCCUUUGUAUAGUCGCCUCGCCGGAGCUGGCUACUGCUCCUUUGAUUUCGCCGGAAGAGGACGCUGCUGUCGCGCUGCUGUUCCGUCGCUGCCGGGAAGAGCUUCUGCUGGCUGCGUCGUCUACACAGCCGUCGCCGCCGGGAAGAGGACGCGGCUCGCCGAUGGUCGUGCAGCCCCGAACAUCACCGCAGCCAACCCGAACAGCCCCGCACAACCCCGAAAUUCUCGAUUUAAAUCUUGUAGGUAGGUUCUUACUUGAUUUGGUGAAAUAAGGUUCAAUUCUUUAACACUAUCUGUCGAUAUGGGUUAUCUGCUUAUGUUGAGUUCUUGAUAUUGCCCACCUUCUGCAAAAAUUUGAUCUUGAAAGUUAUUUAUAUUUUGCUAGAUAUAUUUGCAACCUAGACAUGGUUAUGGUUUCUCUUUGGCAUUCUGCCGAGAUGAGGAAAGAAUCAAAACGCCAAAGAUAGGAGAUAUUAACCCCGAGAAUUUUGAGAUACAUUUGCAGCAUUGGUUGCCUUGGUUCGGUUUUACUUUAUUUACUUCGAUUUUGAGUUUCGAUUGGUGCAACAAAGUGAUAUGUUCUAGCAGAUUACGGAGGAGGAAAAACUCAUCGCGGAGGAGGAAAAUCUCUACAUAAUAUUUAAUUAAACUAGUUAAUUUACAGUCCAUUGUAUUUUAUUUUAAAUUGUGCAGUCCACGAUUUAUUCAUCGCGGACUGGAUUUCUAUAUUAUUUAUCCAAUUUAUUCGAUUCAGCUUGCGAAUCGAGUCCAAUA